UCCGAAUUGGUGUAGUGGCUAACAUUUGACGCUCUCAUUACUUCUCUAUCCACUUAUGGGAGUAUGAUCUGGUGCCGUCAAGCCCGGGGUUCGAUUCCCCGAUUCGGAG